rnacentral:rRNA from 1 species
AACGUAGGAGACGAACGUUAUCCGGAGUUACUGGGCGUAAAGGGCGUGCAGGCGGUCUGAUAAGUUCGGCGUGAAAUAUUCCGGCUUAACCGGGAUAGGUCGUCGGAGACUGUCGGACUAGAGGGUGAUAGAGGCGUGUGGAAUUCCGGGUGUAGUGGUGAAAUGCGUAGAGAUCCGGAGGAACACCAGUGGCGAAGGCGACACGCUGGGUCACACCUGACGCUGAGGCGCGAAGGCUAGGGGAGCGAACGGG